GACGAACGCUGGCGGCGUGCCUAACACAUGCAAGUCGAGCGGAGCCAAUUAGCAGAUCCCCUUCGGGGUGACGUUGAGGAAGCUUAGCGGCGGACGGGUGAGUAACGCGUGAGUAACCUGCCCAUAAGAGAGGGAUAACACAGAGAAAUUUGUGCUAAUACCUCAUAUUGAGUUAAGAUCGCAUGAUUUUAACUUGAAAGAUUUAUCGCUUAUGGAUGGACCCGCGUCUGAUUAGCUAGUUGGUGAGGUAAUGGCUCACCAAGGCGACGAUCAGUAGCCGAACUGAGAGGUUGAUCGGCCACAUUGGGACUGAGACACGGCCCAG
rnacentral:rRNA from 1 species